rnacentral:rRNA from 1 species
CCUACGGGUGGCAGCAGUGAGGAAUAUUGGUCAAUGGACGCAAGCCUGAACCAGCCAUGUCGCGUGCAGGAUGACGGCUCUAUGAGUUGUAAACUUCUUUUGUAAGAGGGUAAAGUGAGGUACGCGUCCCUGUUUGAAUGUACCUUAUGAAUAAGGAUCGGCUAACUCCGUGCCAGCAGCCGCGGUAAUACGGAGGAUCCGAGCGUUAUCCGGAUUUAUUGGGUUUAAAGGGUGCGUAGGCGGUCGGUUAAGUUAGAGGUGAAAUUCUGAGGCUCAACUUCGGAAUUGCCUUUGAUACUGGUCGGCUAGAGAAUAGUUGAGGUAGGCGGAAUGUGUGGUGUAGCGGUGAAAUGCUUAGAGAUCAUGCAGAACACCGAUUGCGAAGGCAGCUUACCAAGCUACUACUGACGUUGAGGCACGAAAGCGUGGGGAUCAAACAGGAUUAGAUACCCUGGUAGUC